GGCGGUAAAUUCCGUCCAAGCCUCAAAUACGGGGCGGAGACCGUCUUGUAGCAAUUCUAAGUAUCCGCUGAGGAAAAUUGAAAAGGACUUUGAAAAGAGAGUCAAAGAGUGCUUGAAAUUGUCGGGAGGGAAGCGAAUGGGGGCCGGCGAUGCGUCCGGUCGGAUGUGGACGGUGUAAGUCGGUCCGCCGAUCGGCUCGGGACGUGGACCGGUGCGGAUUGGUACGGCGGCCAAGCCCAGGCUUUGUGCCUGUGGAGAUUGCCGUUGUGCCGAUCGUGGUGGCAGCGCGCGCCGUCACGGCGUGCUUCGGCACCUGCGUGCUCCUGGCACCGGGCCUGCGGGCACCCCAUUCGGCCCGUCUUGAAACACGGGACCAAGGAGUCUGACAUGUGUCUGCGAGUCAACGGGUGAGUAAACCCGCAAGGCGCAAGGAAGCUGAUUGGCGGAUCCCCUCGUGGGUGCACCGCCGACCGACCUUGAUCUUCUGAGAAGGUUCGGUGUGAGCAUGCCUGUCGGACCCGAAGAUGGUGAACUAUGCCUGAGCGGGGCGAAGCCAGAGGAACUCUGGUGGAGGCCCGCAGCGAUACUGACGUGCAAAUCGUUCGUCUGACUUGGUAUAGGGGCGAAAGACUAUCGAACCGUCUAGUACUGGUUCCCUCCGAAGUUUCCCUCAGGAUAGCUGAGAGCCCGGGUGCGAGUUCUAUCGGGUAAAGCGAAUGAUUAGAGGCAUCGGGGGCGCAACGCCUCGACCUUCUCAAACUUUAAAUAGGUAGGACGGGCGCGGGCUUUGUUGAGCCGCGCCACGGAAUCGAGAGCUCCAAGUGCGGCCAUUUUUGGUAAGCAGAACUGGCGAUGCGGGAUGAACGGAAGCCGAGGUCGGGUGCCAACUGCGCGUAACCUAAACCACAAAGGGUGUUGUCGAUUAAGACAGCAGACGGUGGUCAUGGAAGUCGAAAAUCCCGCUAAGGAGGUGUAACAAGUCACCCUGCCGAAUCAACUAGCCCCGAAAAUGGAUGGCGCUUAGCGCGCGGCCUACACCCGGCCGUCGAGGCAAGUGCCAGGCCCCGAUGAGUAGUAGGGGCGCGCGGCGGUCGCUGCAAAACCUUGGGCGUGAGCCCGGGCGGAGCGGCCGUCGGUGCGGAUCUUGGUGGAGUAGCAAAUUCAAAUGAGAACUUUGAAGGCCGAAGAGGGAAAGGUUCCAUGUAACGGCACUUGCACAUGGGUUAGUCGAUCCUAAGAGACGGGGAAGCCCGUCAGAUAGCGUGUUUCACGCGAGCUUCGAAGGAAUCGGGUUAAAAUUCCUGAACCGGACGUGGCGGCUGACGGCACGUUAGGGAUUCGGAGCGUCGGCGGGGGCCUGGGAAGAGUUAUCUUUUCUGUUAACGCCUGCCCACCCUGGAAACGACUCCCCCAGUCGGAGGUAGGGUCCAGCGGCUGGAAGAGCACCGACGUCGGCCGGUGUCCGGUGCGCCCCCGGCGGCCUUGAAAAUCGGGGACGAGUGCCUCACGCGGUCGUACUCAUAACCGCAUCAGGUCUCCAAGGUGACGCCUCUGGUCGAUGGACAAUGUAGGCAAGGGAAGUCGGCAAAAUGGAUCCGUAACCUGGGAAAAGGAUUGGCUCUGAGGGGCUGGGCACGGGGGUCCUGUCCCGAACCCGUCGGCUGUCGGAUGGGAUGCUCGAGCUGCUUCCGCGGAGGCGGGUCACGUGCGGCCGGGGACGGACUGGGACGGCCUCUUCGGGGCCUUCCCGGGUUCGAACAGCAUGAACUGGUAGGCAAGGGGAAUCCGAUGUUUAUUAAACAGCAUUGCGUGGUCCUGGGAUGCUAAGCAAUGUGAUUUCUGCCCGUGCUUGAUGUCAAGUGAAAUUCACAAGCGCGGGUAACGGCGGGAGUACUAUGCUCUUUAAGGUAGCAUGCUCGUCAUUAUUAGUGACGGUGAUGGAUUACGGUUCCAUGUCCUGUUACUUCGCGAACCACGCAAGGGACGGGUUGGCGAAUCGCGGGGAAGAGACCUGUUGAGCUUGAUCUAGUCGAUUUGUGAAUGACUUGGGGUGUGUAUAAGUGGGAGCCUCGGGCGAAGUGAUACCAUAUUUUACGUUAUUUUACUUAUUCGUGAUCGGAGGGGGCAAGCCCUCUUUUGGACCAGGCCCGCUCGGGGUCGAUCGGGCGGAGACUUGUCAGGUGGGGGUUUGGCUGGGGGGCAAUCUGUUAAAGAUAGAGGUGUCUAGAUGAGCUCACGGAACGAUUGUGUAGAGAGGGUAAGUGUUUGAUUUGUUUCAGUCGAAUGACCGUGAGCGUGGCCUACGUCUUUGACCUUCGGAUUUGAGUAGAGGUGUCAGAAAGUUACACAGGGAUAUGGUUGUGGGCAAGGUUCAUGCGACGUUGCUUUUUGAUCCUUCCGAUGUCGGCUUUCUUCAUUGUGAAGCGAUUCACAAGUGUUGGAUUGUUCACCACAUAGGGAACGUGAGUGGGUUUAGCGUCGUGAGACAGGUUAGUUUUACCUACUGAUGAUGUGUCGCAUAGUAUUACCUAGUACGAGAGGACGUUGAUUGCCAAUUGGUCAUCGGCUUGGUUGAAAGCCGUGGCGCGAGCUACGUGGUGGAUUUGAUGAACGCUUAGUAGAAUCGGGCUAGAGCGGGUGUGCCGUCGCUGUUUGCGAAGCAGUAGGGGCUCGGCCCCAAGGCAGUGUGUAGGCUAAGUCGCGUGGCGGAGCGCGGGGCCGCUGAAGUACAUUCAUCAAGCGACGGGUGAUCCUUUGCAGCGAUUAAUACGUGACGGGGUAUUGUAGUGCGAGUGGCUUGUGCCCGAUCACUGAUUCAGCCUGCGUCGUCAGAUUGUC
rnacentral:rRNA from 1 species